GACAUCUUCAUAAACCAGUCACGCAUAUACAGUGCCAUAGUCAUUGCAGUCAGGACUCAGCAUGGACAAGAGGGCCCCUGCUCAGUUUCUUGGGUUCUUCUUGCUCUUGUUUCCAGGAACCAGAUGCGACAUACAGAUGACUCAGUCUCCAUCCUCCAUGUCUGCUUCUCUGGGAGAGAAAGUCAGUCUCAGUUGCAGGGCAAGUGAGAACAUAAACAGUGAUUUAAGCUGGUACCAGCAGAAACCAGGAAAAUCUCCCAAGCUCAUGAUCUAUGAUGCAACCAACCGGGAAGAUGGGGUCCCAUCCAGGUUCAGUGGCAGUGGGUCUGGGUCAGAUUAUUCUCUCACCAUCAGCAAUGUGGAGUCUGAAGAUAUGGGAGUCUAUUACUGUCUACAGUAUGAUGAAUACCCUCCCACAAUGAUACAAGUCAUAACAUAA